AUACGGAAGAUGCGAGCGUUAUCCGGAUUUAUUGGGUUUAAAGGGAGCGUAGGCGGAUUGUUAAGUCAGCGGUCAAAUGUCGGUGCCCAACAUCGUCCUUCCGUUGAAACUGGCAGUCUUGAAUGCACACAGGGAAGGUGGAAUUCGUCGUGUAGCGGUGAAAUGCUCAGAUAUGACGAGGAACUCCGAUCGCGAAGGCAUCCUUCUGGAGUGCGAUUGACGCUGAGGCUCGAAAGCGCGGGUAUCAAACAGGAUUAGAUACCCUGGUAGUCCGCGCCGUAAACGAUGGAUGCUCGUCAUUGGGGCGUUAGCUUCAGUGACCAAGCGAAAGCAUUAAGCAUCCCACCUGGGGAGUACGCCGGCAACGGUGAAACUCAAAGGAAUUGACGGGG
rnacentral:rRNA from 1 species